AACACUGUUAACCUGCGGUACCUGCGGAAGGAUCAUUACCGAGUUUACAACUCCCAAACCCCUGUGAACAUACCAAUUGUUGCCUCGGCGGAUCAGCCCGCUCCCGGUAAAACGGGACGGCCCGCCAGAGGACCCCUAAACUCUGUUUCUAUAUGUAACUUCUGAGUAAAACCAUAAAUAAAUCAAAACUUUUAACAACGGAUCU
rnacentral:misc_RNA from 1 species